GACGAACGCCGGCGGCGUGCCUAACACAUGCAAGUCGAGCGGAGAAUGCGGAUAUGUUUACAUAGAAGCGUUCUUAGCGGCGGACGGGUGAGUAACACGUGGGUAACCUGCCUCAAAGUGGGGGAUAGCCUUCCGAAAGGAAGAUUAAUACCGCAUAAGCCUACAGUGCCGCAUGGUACAGCAGGAAAAGGAGCAAUCCGCUUUGAGAUGGACCCGNGGCGCAUUAGCUAGUUAGGUGAGGUAACGGCUCACCAAGGCGACGAUGCGUAGCCGACCUGAGAGGGUGAUCGGCCACAUUGGAACUGAGACACGGUCCAGACUCCUACGGGAGCAGCAGUGGGGAAUAGUUGCACAAUGGGCGAAAGCCUGAUGCAGCAA
rnacentral:rRNA from 1 species